GAUCCAAGUGAGGUGCCCAUCAAAGAUGAGGCUUUGGUGCAAUGAAAGAUGCCAUUUCCCAGGCUAUGGAGAAGUUUCCAGGUUAAAGGAUGGAAACAGCAUUCUGCCUUCAGGAAGAAAGGGCAGGCAAAACCCCAGAAGGGUUUUUCUCAAAGCCUGGCCAAGCAAGCUGAGAUUUGCGGCAGGGCUAGACAGAAGAAAUCUGCUCCUUCAAGUUCCAGAACGCAUAGAAUAUAGAAUAUUGUUCAAGAAAAAACUCUACUAAACAUUUAAAAUAGAAAUAAUGCCCAUUCUACACAGAUUCUUUCACAGUAUUGAAGAGCAGGAACUCCCAACUCAUUCUGGGAGGCCAGCAUUUCCCCGAUAGCAAAACCAGACAAAUACGUUACAUGAAAAAAACUACAGACCAAUAUCCUUCAUGAAAAUUGAUGCAAAAUUUCAAUACUAAGUUUUUUUCCAAAUCACCAGUAUAUAAAACAGAUAAUGUAUCAUGACCAAAUGGGUUUUAUCCACUGGGAGAAUGCUAGAUUGAUUUAACAUUAAACAAUCAAGGGACAGCUCCAUGGCCGAGUGGUUAACUUCCCACACUCUGCUUUGGCGGCCCAGGGCUUCCCCGGUUCAGGUCGGGCGUGGACCUAGCACUGCUCAUCAAGCCAUGCUGAGGCAGCAUCCCACAUAGCAGAACCAGAAGGACCUGAAACUAGAAUAUACAGCUACAUACUGGGGGUCUUUGGGGAGAAGAAGAAAAAAAACAAGACUGGCAACAGAUGUUAGCCCAGGUACCAAUCUUAAAAAAAAAAAGGGAACAAAAAUCAGCCAGUGAAAUUCACCCCAUUAGCAAAUUAACAAUGGCAACAUACAAUCAUCUUGAUAGAUGAAGAAAAGCCAUUUGACAAAAUCCAACAUCCACUCCUAUGCUUGAUCUUAGCCAAAAGGCCAACAUCCAUUCCUGAUUUAAAAAAACAAAUUCUUAGAAAACUAGGAAUAGAGAGAAACUUACUCAACUCGAUAAAGAAUAUGUACAAAAACCCUACAGCUAAUAUUUUACUGCAUGCUUUCUCCCUAAUAUCAGGAAUAAAACAAUGAUGUUGGCUCUUCCUGCUCCUACU
rnacentral:lncRNA from 1 species